UUGAAAGGGAAACGAUUGAAGUCAGUCGUACCGACGGAAAAUCAACCUUUGGAGGGCGAGUCGAGGUAUUCGAGGAGUUUAAAAGCCCUUGUGUGCUUCCGUAUCGUGCUUCUUGGGUGCUUUUCUUCGUAUGGUAGGUUAACAUCAAUUUUGGACGUUACAAAAUGACCGGGGGAAUGUAGCUUCGAUUUUUCGAAGUGUUAUAGCCCUUGGUAGAUGUGACGACCGGGAUUGAGGAUUGCAACGAAUGCUUUCGGGCUAUCCGUCUGACCUCUGGUGGUUGCUUUGGGGUCGAAAGCGUGCUUACGGCUUUAAAGUUGGCUAUCAAAAGGCUAGAACGUGAUUAAAUUCGUUAAGGAUGUUGACGUA
rnacentral:rRNA from 1 species